rnacentral:rRNA from 1 species
CUACGUAGGGGGCGAGCGUUGUCCGGAAUGAUUGGGCGUAAAGGGCGCGUAGGCGGCCCGGUAAGUCUGGAGUGAAAGUCCUGUUUUUAAGAUGGGAAUUGCUUUGGAUACUGUCGGGCUUGAGUGCAGGAGAGGUAAGUGGAAUUCCCAGGGUAGCGGUGAAAUGCGUAGAGAUUGGGAGGAACACCAGUGGCGAAGGCGACUUACUGGACUGUAACUGACGCUGAGGCGCGAAAGUGUGGGGAGCAAACAGGAUUAGAUACCCUGGUAGUCCACACUGUAAACGAUGAAUGCUAGGUGUAGGGGGUAUCGACCCCUUCUGUGCCGCAGUCAACACAAUAAGCAUUCCGCCUGGGGAGUACGGCCGCAAGGUUGAAACUCAAAUGAAUUGACGGGG